AGUUUAUAAGUGCCUGGGGUUUAGUGGUGAUGUUGUGUGCUCUUUUCACCUUUUCCCUUCUUCUCCUCUUCUUCUCCUCCCCUCCCCUCCCCUCCCCUCCCUCUCUCCCCUCCCUCCCCUUCCCCUCCCCCUCCGCCGCCUCCCCCCCCGGCUCCCCUCCCCGCUUCCCUUCCCCUCCCCCUCCCCCUUCCCCUUCCUUUCUUCUCUUUUUGUAAACUCUGUGUUUAUUCAGUAUCAAACCAGAAAAUAAAUAAAAAUUAUCAUCAGACAUGGAAAAGCUGCAGUCCACUAACAUCUGAUGGCACUCUGCGCUACAACAGUCCUUUGAUAUUUGGAAUUUGAAUCUUGAAACAGUCACAUUUAGUGGAGCAAUCUGCGAGGUUUGGUGAACUGCAGAAUUAUGCAGUUCCCUGUGCAACGUGAGAUGACUGUGAGACCAAUGAAGGAGAGAUGCUGAAUAACAGUCACUUAAAUAAACAGAAGUGGUUCCUCAGCCUCAUGAAGUUGUUUACAGAGAGAAACUGCAGGAAGAAAAAGGGAUCCUGUAAUGUAGGAAGACAGUAUGUGAAAAAAUUGUGGGGAAGAGAAAGGAAAGAACAGUCACACAGGUAUAAGUCUUUCUAUAGUGAAUCACAAAAUCACAGGAGUUGGAAGGGAUCUCAAGACGUCAUUGAGUCCAACCCCUCUGCUAAAGCAGGUUCCCUACAAUAGGUCACACAGGUAGGUUUCCAGAUGCAUCUUGAAUAUCUUAAUGGAAGGAGACUCCAUAGCCUCUGUGGGCAACCUGUUCCAGCGCUCCAUCACCCUUACUGUAAAGUUCUUCUCCAUGAUAGUAUGGAACUUCCUAUGUUCGAGUUUUAUGCUAUCACUCCUUGUCAUAUCGAUGGACAUCACCAAGAAGAGCCUGGCCUCAUCCAUUUGCCUUCCACCCUCCUUGUAGACACUUAUAAACAUUAACCAGAUCCUCCCUCAAUCUUCUUUUCCCCAUGCUGAACAGACCCAGUUUAUUCAGCCUUUCCUCAUAAAGGAAAUGCUCCAGGCCCUUUAUCAUCUUUGCGACCCACUGCUGGACUCCCUUUAGGAGUUCCCUGUCUUUUUAGAACUGGAGACCCCAGAUCUGGACACACUAUUCUAAAUGUGGCCUCAUCAGGGAAGAAUAGAGAGGGAAGAUAACCUCCCUUGACUUCUUGGCCACACUCUUUGUAAUAGCUCUGUCUGCUAUCCUGUCCCUCUUCUGUUUUCAACUCCAGAGCCUUGUAUCAGUUGUCCAGGGGGACAGCAGGGCUUGGCGGAUGAUACCUCCUUCUGCUCAAGCAAAUGAGGAUCCAUCCUUCUCCACGCUGGAUGUUAUCAUAUCCUUUAUCCUCCAGGUGGGAAACUGGUUUAGUUUCUACCCCAAGCAGGGAUUUAGGAGGGGACUGUUGGUCUGCAUGUAUCAGUUCAGACCUCUUUUUAUCCACCUACGUCUCUGAUUCAUGAUGGUCACCAUGCUGGUACUGACAGGGAGCUCUCCCCUCCUGAUGUCAGAUGAGAAAAGCAGUGUGCCCUGCGCAAACACCACACCACACACUUCUGCCUUUUGCCAGUUCUAACUACAGUCCUUGGUCACUUCACUCCAUGGGGGCUGCCUCUGUAUCUGUGGGGUGCAGCCCCACUGCUGUUGGCCCUGCCAUGCCAUGUCAGAGCGCUGCAGUCAUGAGCAGGGCAAUGG
rnacentral:lncRNA from 1 species